UUGAACGCUGGCGGCAGGCCUAACACAUGCAAGUCGAGCGGUUGAGAGUAGCUUGCUACUUGAUGCAGCGGCGGACGGGUGAGUAACGCGUGGGAAUCUGCCCAGUAGUGGGGGACAACAGCCGGAAACGGCUGCUAAUACCGCAUACGCCCUACGGGGGAAAGGGGGGGAUCUUCGGACCUCUCGCUAUUGGAUGAGCCCGCGUCGGAUUAGCUAGUUGGUAGGGUAAAGGCCUACCAAGGCUACGAUCCGUAACUGGUCUGAGAGGAUGAUCAGUCACACUGGAACUGAGACACGGUCCAGACUCCUACGGGAGGCAGCAGUGGGGAAUAUUGGACAAUGGGGGAAACCCUGAUCCAGCCAUGCCGCGUGUGUGAAGAAGGCCUUAGGGUUGUAAAGCACUUUCAGUGGGGAGAAAGGUUUGUCACCUAAUACGUGAUGAAAUUGAUGUUACCCACAGAAGAAGCACCGGCUAACUCCGUGCCAGCCGCCGCGGUAACAC
rnacentral:rRNA from 1 species